CCUAAGACAUGCAAGUCGAACGAGAUGGCCCAGUGAAGGUUGCGCGCUUGCACAAGACUGGAUCUGGAUCACCAUCUAGUGGCAGACGGGUGAGUAACACGUGGGUGACCUGCCUUUUCGUUGGGGAUAACAGUUAGAAAUGAUUGCUAAUGCCGGAUGAAAUUGGGAACGAAAUUUCAUUCUUUAUUAAAAGGAGCCUUUAAAGCUUCGCUUGAAGAUGAGCCUGCGACGUAUUAGCUAGUUGGUGGGGUAAGGGCCUACCAAGGCAACGAUGCGUAGCCGACCUGAGAGGGUGAUCGGCCACACUGGGACUGAGACACGGCCCAGACUCCUACGGGAGACAGCAGUUAGGAAUAUUCGUCAAUGGGGGAAACCCUGAACGAGCAAUGCCGCGUGAAGGAUGACGGUCCUAUGGAUUGUAAACUUCUGUUGUUAGGGAAGAACGACUAGUGUAGGAAAUGACACUAGAGUGACGGUACCUUUCAAGAAAGCUCCGGCUAACUACGUG
rnacentral:rRNA from 1 species